rnacentral:rRNA from 1 species
UUCCUCCUAAGAGCGACUAUAAACAUGACCACACACCCGACGAAUCGUAGUAAGACCCGAUAGAACAUUUCUUUACUCCCAAAGUCAAACUUCUGGUCAGGUUACUAAAUUAAGGAUGUCAUUUAUUUUCCAAUAUAGAACACCAAAAGUAGCAGCCGGUCGAUGGUUCCAAUGUCCCUUGUCAUAAAAAUAAAGGGGGAAAACUUUGAAGUCUAGUUUGAUUCUAACUACUUCAAACGUUUACAGGUUAACUACAUGGACAGG